rnacentral:rRNA from 1 species
GAUGAACGCUGGCGGCGUGCCUAACACAUGCAAGUCGAGCGAUUCUCUUCGGAGAAGAGCGGCGGACGGGUGAGUAACGCGUGGGUAACCUGCCCUGUACACACGGAUAACAUACCGAAAGGUAUGCUAAUACGAGAUAAUAUACUUUUAUCGCAUGGUAGAAGUAUCAAAGCUUUUGCGGUACAGGAUGGACCCGCGUCUGAUUAGCUAGUUGGUAAGGUAACGGCUUACCAAGGCGACGAUCAGUAGCCGACCUGAGAGGGUGAUCGGCCACAUUGGAACUGAGACACGGUCCAAACUCCUACGGGAGGCAGCAGUGGGGAAUAUUGCACAAUGGGCGAAAGCCUGAUGCAGCAACGCCGCGUGAGCGAUGAAGGCCUUCGGGUCGUAAAGCUCUGUCCUCAAGGAAGAUAAUGACGGUACUUGAGGAGG